UGAUGAUGGUUUGGACAAAGAAUUUUGCUAGGGACGAGGAAAGGGCAAAAAUAAAUUUUGUGAUCUAGUGCCUUGCGAUGUCAUCACAGGAAUUGCUUUGAAAAAUUUGCCGCAUGAGACAUAGUUUACUGUUUCAGAGGCUGCAAAAAGCUGGCUGCGACGUGCCAAUAAAUAUUAUACAAGGAGAGAAAAUCAACCAUGAACUAGGAUUGAAUGCCGAAUUAAUUAUAU